rnacentral:misc_RNA from 1 species
CAACCCUCAAGCCCCCGCGGCUUGGUGUUGGGGGCCUGCGCACCGCAGCCCCCGAAAGACAGCGGCGGGCGUGGCCUGGCACCGAACGUAGUAGACUCUCUCUCGUUCGCGGCACCAGGGCGCGCUUCCGGCCGGUAAACCCCCAUCUUUUUUACGU